GGAAAGUCGCACGGUACAGGGUGAUAGUCCCGUACACAAAAAUGCAUAUGUUGUGAGUUCGAUGAGUAGGGCGGGACACGUGACAUCCUGUCUGAAUAUGGGGGGACCAUCCUCCAAGGCUAAAUACUCCUGACUGACCGAUAGUGAACCAGUACCGUGAGGGAAAGGCGAAAAGAACCCCGGCGAGGGGAGUGAAAUAGAACCUGAAACCGUGUACGUACAAGCAGUGGGAGCACCUUCGUGGUGUGACUGCGUACCUUUUGUAUAAUGGGUCAGCGACUUAUAUUUUGUAGCAAGGUUAACCGAAUAGGGGAGCCGUAGGGAAACCGAGUCUUAACUGGGCGAAUAGUUGCAAGGUAUAGACCCGAAACCCGGUGAUCUAGCCAUGGGCAGGUUGAAGGUUGGGUAACACUAACUGGAGGACCGAACCGACUAAUGUUGAAAAAUUAGCGGAUGACUUGUGGCUGGGGGUGAAAGGCCAAUCAAACCGGGAGAUAGCUGGUUCUCCCCGAAAGCUAUUUAGGUAGCGCCUCGUGAACUCAUCUUCGGGGGUAGAGCACUGUUUCGGCUAGGGGGUCAUCCCGACUUACCAAACCGAUGCAAACUCCGAAUACCGAAGAAUGUUAUCACGGGAGACACACGGCGGGUGCUAACGUCCGUCGUGAAGAGGGAAACAACCCAGACCGCCAGCUAAGGUCCCAAAGUCAUGGUUAAGUGGGAAACGAUGUGGGAAGGCAUAGACAGCCAGGAUGUUGGCUUAGAAGCAGCCAUCAUUUAAAGAAAGCGUAAUAGCUCACUGGUCGAGUCGGCCUGCGCGGAAGAUGUAACGGGG
rnacentral:rRNA from 1 species